UACGUAGGCAGCAAGCGUUGUUCGGAAUUACUGGGCGUAAAGAGUGUGUAGGCGGUGCUCUAAGUUCGGUGUGAAAUCUCCCGGCUCAACUGGGAGGGUGCGCCGAAAACUGGGGUGCUGGAGCGCGGGAGAGGAAAGCGGAAUUCCUGGUGUAGCGGUGAAAUGCGUAGAGAUCGUAAGGAAGACCAGUGGCGAAGGCGGGUCUCUGGACAGUUCCUGACACUGAGUCACGAA
rnacentral:rRNA from 1 species